UCCUCCGAAGGUGCUCAGUCCCCAGACUCUUUCCCACCUCUGCCCACACCAGUCCUGUCUUCCACCCAGAGGCACAGCUGGAUUGCACUGGCAGAACUGAGGAGGGGGGGACCGGCAGCCUCCACCGGAGUGGGGAGUGAGAAGUGCAACAUAGAACACAAAAGACCAGAGCUUCUGCAGGGGAAGAAGGACAAGGUUCGUCCUAUGCAUACCGCAUCUCCACACCUUUGUUGGCCUGGAGUUCAGGCUGGAAGCAAUCUGUGGGUUGUUUCUGCACAUGCACCUGCCAUCCUAGCAAGAGGUCUUGCCUCCAAGUCACCUAAGCUACCCACUAAGGAUGACACUGAAAACAUCUCCCAAGAGCCUGCUAAGUUUGGGGCUCACCAAGAGAUCUGGUCCAGCCUUUAGCAAACCUCCCAGCACUAUCCUAUAAAUCCUUUAGGUAACAAUAAGCAGAAAAGACCAGGUAUGGGAGCACAUAUCUGUAAUCCCAGCACUGGGGAGGCUGAGACAGGAGAAACCCAAGUUUAAGGCCAGCCUAGGCAACUUAGAAUUUGUCUCAAAAUAAAAAAAUAAGAGGCAGGAAAGGUAGUACAUGCAUAUCUGAAAUCCCAGCACUCUGGAAGAUGAGUUAGGGUGCACUGCAAGUUUAAACCCUCCCUGGGCAAUUUAGUGACUUAGUAAGACCCUGUCUCAAAAUUUAAAAAUGGGCUGGGAAAUGUAGCUCAG
rnacentral:lncRNA from 1 species